rnacentral:pre_miRNA from 8 species
CAGGCUCACUAUGACACAGUGUGAGACCUCGGGCUACAACACAGGACCCGGGUGCUGCUCUGACCCCUCGUGUCUUGUGUUGCAGCCGGAGGGACGCAGGUCCGCAGCAGAGCCUGUUCC